UACGUAGGGUCCAAGCGUUAUCCGGAUUCACUGGGCGUAAAGUGUAUCGUAGGCGGUUUGCCAAGUAUGUCGUUAAAGUCCGAGGCUUAACUUCGGAAGUGCGGCGUAAACUGGUAGACUUGAGGUUGUUCGGGAGUGCUGGAAUUCAUGGUGAAGGGGUGAAAUCCGUUGAUACCAUGAAGAACACCAAGGGCGAAGGCAGGCACUUAGGACAAUUCUGACGCUGAUGAACGAAAGCUAGGGGAGCGAAAGGG
rnacentral:misc_RNA from 1 species